UUGCCGUGAUGCUUACAACCGAGCAAGAGUUUGAAGGUGUUGGAGAGUGGGAGAACACUUGGUUGAAACAUGAGCUGUUGGUCAGUUUUCCUCAGUAUCCUAUUGCUAUCAAGAGUAGAAUGGACGGUGGAAAGAGAAUGGUGCGAUUUCUUCAUCUACGAUAACUCUGCUCUUGUACUCUUGAGGAAUGCUGACAAGUGACACUGACAAACAUGGAUGUAGGAGGUUAUUCUGAAGUAAGUUUGAAAAAAAAAGACCUGGAUAGAUCAAAGAAAUACAUCAAGAUGUCGCAGAAGUGGCCGGGAAGGAUGUGUUGCCAACACCACCGAGCUUCGGGUAGAUGGCUGGCCGAAUCUUGAACACAACCCACAUCGUACGCAUCGCGUGGCCGGCAGUGUCGAGCCCUUCGUUCGUCGCUGCAGCAGAUUUUUCUUCGUACCUGAAGGAGAAGAAGCACAGUGUAAAGGGAAGAUUCUCGGAACUGUGGUCCAAGGAGGAGCAGAAACAAGCACUCGUGAGACACAAGAUCGGUGGCCACGAUCGAUAAUGUUGACAACAUCCUGAAGCCCACGACACUCCCCGAGUUCACCAUAUGAUCAUAGAGCAGCAAGAACUAGAGUUUCAAGCUUCGUUGUUCGCAACCACUAGCAAAUAGAAGCCUGCAUUUUCAGUGCCCGCUUGUAGAUAUGUGUGCUAUAAACAAAGAGGAACCUGAGUGUCAUGUCUUUUUCCUCUACUGUUGUAAACAUUUUUGUGAUGGGAACAAUACAUCCUUGUUUGGUUUGGUUA